GAUGAACGCUGGCGGCGUGCUUAACACAUGCAAGUCGAACGGAAAGGCGCGGCGUUUGCGGGGUGCUCGAUUGGCGAACGGGUGAGUAACACGUGAGUAACCUGCCCUUGACUUUGGGAUAACACUUGGAAACUGGGGCUAAUACCGGAUAGGAGCUCCUGAUGCAUGGUGUGGGUUGGAGAAUUUCGGCGGUGGGGGCUCGUCUGGCUGCUUAUCCGCUUGAUGGGGGGGUAGUGGAAUACGAGGGCUACGAAGGGUAGCCGGCCUGGGAGGGUGGACGCGGUCAAUGGUCCUGCGAUACGCCGCAGUCGCCUAUGUGCGGCAGUGGGCGGGAGUAUUGCGGAGUGGGGGCGAGCCUGAGACGGCGACGCUGCGUGCGGGAUGAUGGCUUUUGGGUGGUAAACCACUUUCGAAGGUGACGAAGCGGUAGUGACGGUACCUGGUCAAGAAGCACCGGCUAACUACGUG
rnacentral:rRNA from 1 species